CUACUCACGUGACGUCACAGCCACGCCCCCGCGCCAUGAUGUCCGGAUACUAGUCAUGUUAAUGCAUUAGCGCUUCGUAAAUUCCUCCUAUUAUGGCGUGUUUUUCUGCUCGUUAACAUUAAUAAUCAAAACGGUGAAGUCGUGUGUGGCGGUCAGUUGCAAAAACAGAGAAGAUAGACGGAGAGACUUGAAUUUUUACCGUAUUCCGAGAGACCCGAAGAGGAGACCGACAUUGACUGCUGCAAUUCGACGAGAAAACUGGGCUCCAAACGACUACCGCAGAUUAUGUAGUAGUAAUUUUAUAUCUGGUUGACCUGGUCGACCAGGAGGCCCAGGAGGACCCUGAAACAGCACAUGGAAUCAAUGGCUGGUCAAAGUGGAGGUCAACAUUAUCACCUUGCCAGGUGGUCCAGGAGGCCCAAAGGCAACUGGUCCAUUAUCUCCGAGUGCAACUGAUGUACCAGGGACUCCAGGUGGACCUGGGGGGCCUGGGGGGCCUGGAGGACCCUGAAAAACAAAUGACAAAUGAUUAUUUCCAAAUUCCUUCUUACAUCCUGCAAAUUAGGGAACACUCACACAUCGUGCCAAUUCUAUUGUGCUGAGCCUUGGUGACAUUGCCACUGUCUCUACGCAUGACUACCAUAAUUGCAAUAUGAAGUGGCACACCUCUACUCCUUCAUAACACAGACAUUAGUCUCCAAAACCUGUUUUUUAGGUGUUAAGCAUACAGUAUGUGUGAGUGAACUCUGAGGUGGACAAAGCUUCUGCAUACCUGGAUUUUCUCCCAAUCGGAGUAUCCUGAGCCCUCCAUGUCUACAAAAGUCUGUGAUAGAACACAAUACGAUACAUUCGAAAUGAAAAAACAAAAUUGUAAACCUUUAAAAUAGUGUUCUAUAAGGUGUCGACAUACCGGUCGAUUUCCAGUUCCUGGUCCAGGAGGUCCAGGAAGCCCUGGAGGACCUCUGGGUCCAGGUAAUCCUUCGCCUCGCUCACCCUGUAGUUCAGAGGUCAUAAAGUCAAAGGUUGCAAUGAAGAAAAAUUCCAAAUUUCAACCAUUUAACCUUUUGUCCUCGAGCACCAGGAUUUCCAGGAGUUCCUGGAAAACCUUGCGGCCCUGGAGGACCCUAAAAAAAGACACAAAAUGCACAAUGUAACAUGUCAAUGUCAAUGUGCACACUCUUCCUUUAAUUAAAACAUAUUGAAAACACUUACAGCUUUCCCAUCCUCUCCUGGGUUUCCCUGAAUCAUCAUUUACAGACAAUUAGCAGCAGUCCUUAAAAAUGCAU